UGUCAGAUGUUUUUGUAUAGAAGUGGCUGCUGUUGUCUAGCAAAUUCAAUGGCUCCUUUAUCAAAGACAUGGUCUUUGAUAUUCUUGGAGAAUAUUUUGUUUGUUAUGAAACAAUUUCUGUCGUUACGUGUUACACAUUAGAAAAAGGAAGUUUAAGGGCAUAUACUGCUUCAUUAUGCUUCACGCAAAUAGAAAUGCAUGAUUUUCAUGGUGAGUUCUAUGGUACUCCAAGAGAUGCAUGGUCACUCUGACAAUUGUAUGUGGUCUUCUAGAGAUGCAUAUGGUACUUGUAUUAUAGCGUGUUUUCCCACAUUAGAUUUCGUUUGCCUGUCCUUGGAUGUACAUUUCGUUGCCAUUAGUAGUGUGCUUUCAUAUUAAGCUGACUGUUCCACAAGCUUUUGGAUGUAUGACAAAUUUGAGAUUAUCUGUUAAGGUUUCCCAUGAAAGCAAGGAAGUAGUUCAUGAUCCUAGCUGGUUCACUCUGCAGGUUGAUGAAUCACGAUGGCCGAACAUUGAAAUCUAAAUGAAUAUGAUUUAUGAUAAGCAGAAAGGCGAUUGGAGAUGGAAGAAGGCAGCAGGAGCCCCACGAGUGACUCCCUCAAGUGGCAAAGUAUUCCUGGCCCGACAUUAAACAGGUAGGAAAGGCGACAACAUUUUAGCGGGAUUUAUGGCAAGAAAGAAACCUCCAUCCGUUGGGAUCCUGUUACUCGUCGUCUGUCACAGCAACCAGGAGGCUGAAGACGCUUUAUCGAAGUUGAAUCAGUCUUCUACUUUACAGAUUGCAUUAGGAUCAUUAAGCCAUUCUCUUUCUCAAAUUAACUUACUUCAGCAUAAAGACAAAGAAGUUAGGUUAUUGGUUGCAGUGUGUUUCAGUGAAAUCAUCCGGAUCCUGGCACCUGAACCACCUUUCAGUGAUGAGAUAUGAAUAUAAUAAGAGUCAAAAUCUGUCGUAGAGGAAGUCUCUCACUAGGACUGCCCGAUGUGUGAGGCUCCUGCUAAUGUGUAGCUUAUAAUAAAUCAUUUUCAGGUGGUGCCAAUUAGGAGAAGUUUUGUCUGAUAAAUUGUGCUGUAUUAUAGCCUACAUAAAUAUCUCUGUAAUUCUUUUUGUUAUAAAUUCUAUAGAAAUGUCAUUCUUUAUUAUGGGGAAUGAUGCUUUGUUUAUUACUGAUCCAUUUUCAUAAUAAGCGCUCUCAAAAUAUGGUAUAAAUCUCUUCAUGGUAUUUGGUGAAGAACUGGACCUUCUACAUUGUUUUGGAUUUUUUUCAUGCUCCAUUUGUACUACAAACACCAUGUUGAUAAUUAGAGAUUUAUUCCUGCAUGGGAGUUACAGAAAUUCUCUGUGCUAUUUGAUUUGCUAAUGCUGAUGGGUAUCAUCUAUUUUUGUUUUCUUCAUGAUGUUUGCAAUGCAGCAAGGCUCUCUUUAUAUUCUUCUGCUGACCUUUUGGUCUGUGCAUGCCUGUUAAAAUAUUUAUGCUGGAAAAUAUGCUGUUAAUGAUCAGAUAUUUGACCAAUCUAGUUUUUAUCUCAACUUCUUUAGGUCUGUGAUUGAUGAAAUUGAACUUGUU